rnacentral:rRNA from 1 species
CCAAUAGCGUAUAUUAAAGUUGUUGCAGUUAAAAAGCUCGUAGUUGAAUUUCGGGGUCAGUAGGUUGGUCAUGCCACUGGUAUGUACUGGUCUCACUGAUUCCUCCUUCCUGAUGAGCUGUAAUGCCAUUAAUUUGGUGUUGCGGGGAAUCUGGACUGUUACUUUGAAAAAAUUAGAGUGUUUAAAGCAGGCUAACGCCUGAAUAAAUUAGCAUGGAAUAAUGAAAUAGGACGUUCGAUCCUAUUUUGUUGGUUUCUAGGAUUGACGUAAUGAUUAAUAGGGAUAGUUGGGGGCAUUAGUAUUCAAUUGUCAGAGGUGAAAUUCUUGGAUUUAUUGAAGACUAACUACUGCGAAAGCAUUUGCCAAGGAUGUUUUCAUUAAUCAAGAACGAAAGUUAGGGGAUCGAAGACGAUCAGAUACCGUCGUAGUCUUAACCAUAAACUAUGCCGACUAGGGAUCGGAUGAUGUUAAUUUUUUAAUGACUCAUUCGGCGCCUUACG